CGUAGGGUGCGAGCGUUAAUCGGAAUUACUGGGCGUAAAGCGUGCGCAGGCGGUUUGUUAAGAUAGGCGUGAAAUCCCCGGGCUCAACCUGGGAACUGCGCUUAUGACUGGCAAGCUAGAGUACGGCAGAGGGGGUGGAAUUCCACGUGUAGCAGUGAAAUGCGUAGAGAUGUGGAGGAACACCAAUGGCGAAGGCAGCCCCCUGGGUCGAUACUGACGCUCAUGCACGAAAGCGUGGGUAGCAAACAGGAUUAGAUACCCUGGUAGUCCACGCCCUAAACGAUGUCAACUAGGUGUUGGGAGGGUAAACCUUUUAGUACCGGAGCUAACGCGUGAAGUUGACCGCCUGGGGAGUACGGCCGCAAGGUUA
rnacentral:rRNA from 1 species